GGCUGUGAUCAUACUAGCGCUAAUGCGCUGGAUCCCAUUAGAACUUCGAAGGUGAACGUGCUUGGGCGAGAGUAGUACUAAGAUGGGUGACCUCUUGGGAAGUCCUCGUGUUGCACCCC
rnacentral:rRNA from 1 species